GGGCCCGUAGCUCAGCAUGGUUAGAGCGCCGGACUCAUAAUCCGGUGGCCCGGAGUUCAAGUCUCCGCGGGCCCA
rnacentral:tRNA from 3 species